GCCCGUGGUUGAUCAUGUAGAACUGGACUUACAAUCAUCUUCAGAAGGUUAUUCAGCUCUCUUGGAUGGGCUUCUGUGGAGUUGCCAUCCCAAGAUUCUCUCUGUAGAAUUUAUGGAUUUGGAGUCCCAAAGCAAAUUCAUGAUGGUUUUGCGUGAGAAGAUUGUGCACAUAUUUGAUUUGAAUUCGGAACAUUUAGAGAGCAUCCGAGGUUGGUAGCGUGACUUGAAAGAUGUUGAGUUCCACGAUGGAGAUGGGAGGCCUCUUAAUUGGAGUGCUGCAUCUGAUGUUACUCCAAAUUCGCAGAGAGGCCCAAAGUUGCGCGCCACAUUCAAGUGGCGACAUCAUCCGACAGAUCGAAAGUCAGGUGAAGCGAGAUGGAAGUGAUGUAAAGAUGGCUCUAUAUGGGGAUUAAAUAAGAGAGGGCUUCAUGCCCUUCCGUGUUUGCCCUCUUCGCUGCCCGGGCUUUUGUUUGGAGGAGGAGGAGGAUGGAUGCGUCUCACUUUUGAGAUUUGAGACUGGAACUGUACAUUUUGUUCAUGUAUUUGAGCUUUUUCAAAUCCUCCUAAACCGGGGGCUGGAGUUUUGAUCCGAG